AGUGAACGCUGGCGGUAUGCCUAACACAUGCAAGUCGAACGGCAUCUCAGUAACUUCUUGCUCUUACUUGUUGCCAGUGGCGUACGUGUCGCGUAUACAUCGUACUCUUCUUUUUCGUGUGGCUUCACGUAGGUAAACUUACUCUAAUACCGCAUACGACCUACCGUUGCAUUCAGUUGAUCUUCGGACCUUGCGCGCUUCUUUGAGCCGAUCUCGGAUUAGCUUGUUGGGGGGGUAAAGUCCCACCAAGGCGACGAUCCGUAGCUGGUGUGAGAGGAUGAUCAGCCACACUGGAAGUGAGACACGGUACAGACUCCUACGGGAGGCAGCAGUGGGGAAUAUUGGACAAUGGGCGAAAGCAUGAUACAGAAAUACCGCGUGGGAGAAGAAGGACUUAGGGUUGUAAAGCAAUUUUGUUGGGAAAGAAAAGAAGCAGGUUAAUACCAAGAUGUAAUGACGGUAACGAAAGAAUAAGCACCGGCUAACUACGUG
rnacentral:rRNA from 1 species